rnacentral:rRNA from 1 species
GAUGAACGCUGGCGGCGUGCCUAAUACAUGCAAGUCGAGCGAACAGAUGAGGAGCUUGCUCCUCUGACGGUAGCGGCGGACGGGUGAGUAACACGUGGAUAACCUACCUAUAAGACUUGGAUAACUUCGGGAAACCGGAGCUAAUACCGGAUAAUAUAUUGAACCGCAUGGUUCAAUAGUGAAAGACGGUUUUGCUGUCACUUAUAGAUGGAUCCGCGCCGCAUUAGCUAGUUGGUAAGGUAACGGCUUACCAAGGCAACGAUGCGUAGCCGACCUGAGAGGGUGAUCGGCCACACUGGAACUGAGACACGGUCCAGACUCCUACGGGAGGCAGCAGUAGGGAAUCUUCCGCAAUGGGCGAAAGCUUGACGGAGCAACGCCGCGUGAGUGAUGAAGGUCUUCGGAUCGUAAAACUCUGUUAUUAGGGAAGAACAAAUGUGUAAGUAACUAUGCACGUCUUGACGGUACCUAAUCAGAAAGCCACGGCUAACUACGUG